UUCCAGACUCCUACGGGAGGCAGCAGUGAGGAAUAUUGGUCAAUGGGCGGAAGCCUGAACCAGCCAAGUCGCGUGAGGGAAUAAGGCCCUACGGGUCGUAAACCUCUUUUGUCGGGGAACAAAGGCGCCCACGGGUGGGCGGAUGAGUGUACCCGAAGAAAAAGCAUCGGCUAACUCCGUGCCAGCAGCCGCGGUAAUACGGAGGAUGCGAGCGUUAUCCGGAUUUAUUGGGUUUAAAGGGUGCGUAGGCGGACAGUCAAGUCAGCGGUAAAAAUGCGGUGCUCAACGCCGUACAGCCGUUGAAACUGGCAGUCUUGAGUGGGCGAGAAGUAUGCGGAAUGCGCGGUGUAGCGGUGAAAUGCAUAGAUAUCACGCAGAACUCCGAUUGCGAAGGCAGCAUACCGGCGCCCGACUGACGCUGAGGCACGAAAGCGUGGGUAUCGAACAGGAUUAGAUACCCUUGUAUUG
rnacentral:rRNA from 1 species